rnacentral:rRNA from 1 species
UUAAAGAUUAUAAUUUUAAGUYUAAUYUGCUCCAUGAAAUUAUUUAAAUANGCUGCAGUAUCCUAACUGUAUGAAAGUAGCAUAGUCAAUAGUUUUUUAAUUAAAAGCUGGAAUGAACGAUUUGAUAAGGUAAUUAUUGUCUCAAAUUUAAUAGAAUUAGAAUUUUUUUUUUAGUAAAAAUACUAAAAUUUAUUUAAAAGACGAGAAGACCCUAUAGAUUUUUAUAAUUAAAUUUUAUAACUAAUUUUAAACUUAUAAUUAAUUAUUUAAGAUUUAAUUAUUAGGUUGGGGUAAUUAUUAAAUUAAUUUAAUUUUAAUAUAUUAUAAACAAAAAUUAUUGAGUAUUUGAUCUUGAAAUUUAAAUUAUUAGAAUAAAAUACCUUAGGGAUAACAGCGUAAUUUUUUUGGAGAGAUCAUAUUUAUAAAAAAGUUUGCGACCUCGAUGUUGAAUUAAGAUAAAAUUUUAGCGUAGGAGUUAAAAAUUUUUGGBCUGUUCGACCAUUAAAAUCUUACGUGAUCUGAGUUCA